UCCGUAGGUGAACCUGCGGAAGGAUCAUUACCGAGUUGAUUCGGGCUCCGGCCCGAUCCUCCCACCCUUUGUGUACCUACCUCUGUUGCUUUGGCGGGCCGCGGUUCUCCGCGGCCGCCCCCCUCCCCGGGGGGUGGCCAGCGCCCGCCAGAGGACCAUCAAACUCCAGUCAGUAAACGAUGCAGUCUGAAAAACAUUUAAUAAACUAAAACUUUCAACAGCGGAUCUCUUGGUUCUGGCAUCGAUGAAGAACGCAGCGAAAUGCGAUAAGUAAUGUGAAUUGCAGAAUUCAGUGAAUCGUCGAAUCUUUGAACGCACAUUGCGCCCUUUGGUAUUCCGAAGGGCAUGCCUGUUCGAGCGUCAUUACAACCCUCAAGCUCUGCUUGGUAUUGGGCACCGUCCUUUGCGGGCGCGCCUCAAAGACCUCGGCGGUGGCGUCUUGCCUCAAGCGUAGUAGAACAUACAUCUCGCUUCGGAGCGCAGGGCGUCGCCCGCCGGACGAACCUUCUGAACUUUUCUCAAGGUUGACCUCGGAUCAGGUAGGGAUACCCGCUGAACUUAAGCAUAUCAAUAAGCGGAGGA
rnacentral:rRNA from 1 species